AUACGUAGGUGGCAAGCGUUGUCCGGAUUUACUGGGUGUAAAGGGCGUGUAGGCGGAGAUGCAAGUCAGGAGUGAAAUCUAGGGGCUCAACCCCUAAACUGCUUUUGAAACUGUAUCCCUUGAGUAUCGGAGAGGCAGGCGGAAUUCCUAGGGUAGCGGUGAAAUGCGCUGAUAUUAGGAGGAACUCCAUUGGCGAAGGCGGCCUGAUGGAUGACAACUGACGCUGACGCGCGUAAGCGUGAGGAGCAAACAGGAUUAGAUACCCUGGUAGUCCACGCUGUAAACGAUGAAUACUAGGUGUGGGGGUACUGACCCCCUCCGUGCCGCAGUUAACACAAUAAGUAUUCCACCUGGGGAGUACGAUCGCAAGAUUGAAACUCAAAGGAAUUGACGGGG
rnacentral:rRNA from 1 species